CCCUUGAGUUUGAUCAUGGCUCAGAUUGAACGCUGGCGGCAGGCCUAACACAUGCAAGUCGAGCGGCAGCGGGAAAGUAGCUUGCUACUUUUGCCGGCGAGCGGCGGACGGGUGAGUAAUGCCUGGGAAAUUGCCCAGUCGAGGGGGAUAACAGUUGGAAACGACUGCUAAUACCGCAUACGCCCUACGGGGGAAAGCAGGGGACCUUCGGGCCUUGCACGAUUG
rnacentral:rRNA from 1 species